rnacentral:rRNA from 1 species
UACGUAGGGCGCAAGCGUUGUCCGGAAUUAUUGGGCGUAAAGGGUGCGUAGGCGGCGCGGUAAGUCGGGUGUGAAAUCUCGGAGCUUAACUCCGAAACUGCAUUCGAUACUGCCGUGCUUGAGGACUGGAGAGGAGACUGGAAUUUACGGUGUAGCGGUGAAAUGCGUAGAUAUCGUAAGGAAGACCAGUGGCGAAGGCGGGUCUCUGGACAGUUCCUGACGCUGAGGCACGAAGGCCAGGGGAGCAAACGGG